AUAUUCAAAUGAGAACUUUUAAGGCCGAAGUGGAGAAGGGUUCCAUGUGAACAGCAGUUGAACAUGGGUCAGUCGACCCUAAGGGAUAGGCGAAGGCCGUUCUGAAGCGGGGUGAUGUUCGCGUCGCCCCGGCGGACCGAAAGGGAAUCGGGUUAAUAUUCCCGAACCUCGACGCGGAGAUUGGCGCUCCGGCGCCUAGUGCGGCAACGCAAACGAACUCGGAAACGCCGACGUGGGUCCCGGGAAGAGUUCUCUUUUCUUGGUAAGGGGCGGCGACCCUGAUAUCGGUUCGCCCGGAGAUAGGGACAUGGGCCCCGUAAAGCAGCACGUCUCUUGUGCUGUCCGGUGAGCUCGCGUCGGCCCUUGAAAAUCCGAGGGAGACGGUGUAAUUUUCGUGCGAGGUCGUACCCAUAUCCGCAGCAGGUCUCCAAGGUGAACAGCCUCUGGCCGAUAGAACAAUGUAGGUAAGGGAAGUCGGCAAACUAGAUCCGUAACUUCGGGAAAAGGAUUGGCUCUAGGGGCUGGGUCGGUCGGGCUGAGGUACGAAGCGGGGCGCGGCGCUGUACCGGACUGGGCGAACGACGGCCUCCCUCGCGGGGGGCUGGCGUGAGCCUGGACCUGUGUCGGCGUCUUCCCGUGGAAUGCCGCAGCUAACGCGGGCCUCGCGGCCCGCUUCGGCCGGCGUCGAACAGCCGACUUAGAACUGGUACGGACCGGGGGAAUCCGACUGUUUAAUUAAAACAAAGCUUUGCGAUGGCCGUCAGCCGGUGUUGA
rnacentral:ncRNA from 1 species